CCCAGUGUGAUUCGUCACACUAUCAUUAACUGAAUCCAUAGGUUAAUGAGGCGAACCGGGGGAACUGAAACAUCUAAGUACCCCGAGGAAAAGAAAUCAACCGAGAUUCCCCCAGUAGCGGCGAGCGAACGGGGAGGAGCCCAGAGCCUGAAUCAGCAUGUGUGUUAGUGGAAGCGUCUGGAAAGGCGCGCGAUACAGGGUGACAGCCCCGUACACAAAAGCGCAUGUGCUGUGAGCUCGAUGAGUAGGGCGGGACACGUGGUAUCCUGUCUGAAUAUGGGGGGACCAUCCUCCAAGGCUAAAUACUCCUGACUGACCGAUAGUGAACCAGUACCGUGAGGGAAAGGCGAAAAGAACCCCGGCGAGGGGAGUGAAAAAGAACCUGAAACCGUGUACGUACAAGCAGUGGGAGCCCCACCACCAAAGCAUUUGCUGUACCGCGUUGACGGAGCGAAGCGACGUCA
rnacentral:rRNA from 1 species